GGGUAUAGCUCAGUGGUAGAGUACAUGCUUAGCAUGCACAAUGUCCUGGGUUUAAUCCCCGGUACCUCCA
rnacentral:tRNA from 1 species